rnacentral:rRNA from 1 species
UACGGAGGGGGCUAGCGUUGUUCGGAAUUACUGGGCGUAAAGCGCACGUAGGCGGCUUUGUAAGUUAGAGGUGAAAGCCCAGGGCUUAACCCUGGAAUUGCCUUCAAGACUGCAUCGCUAGAAUCGUGGAGAGGUGAGUGGAAUUCCGAGUGUAGAGGUGAAAUUCGUAGAUAUUCGGAAGAACACCAGUGGCGAAGGCGACUCACUGGACACGUAUUGACGCUGAGGUGCGAAAGCGUGGGGAGCAAACAGG